GAUGAACGCUGGCGGCGUGCCUAAUACAUGCAAGUCGAGCGAACGGACGAGAAGCUUGCUUCUCUGAUGUUAGCGGCGGACGGGUGAGUAACACGUGGAUAACCUACCUAUAAGACUGGGAUAACUUCGGGAAACCGUAGCUAAUACCGGAUAAUAUUUUGAACCGCAUGGUUCAAAAGCGAAAGACGGUCUUGCUGUCACUUAUAGAUGGAUCCGCGCUGCAUUAGCUAGUUGGUAAGGUAACGGCUUACCAAGGCAACGAUGCAUAGCCGACCUGAGAGGGUGAUCGGCCACACUGGAACUGAGACACGGUCCAGACUCCUACGGGAGGCAGCAGUAGGGAAUCUUCCGCAAUGGGCGAAAGCCUGACGGAGCAACGCCGCGUGAGUGAUGAAGGUCUUCGGAUCGUAAAACUCUGUUAUUAGGGAAGAACAUAUGUGUAAGUAACUGUGCACAUCUUGACGGUACCUAAUCAGAAAGCCACAGCUAACUACGUG
rnacentral:rRNA from 1 species